rnacentral:sRNA from 1 species
GCCAGGUGUGGUAGCACAUGCCUGUAAUCCCAUAGACUUUGGAGGCUGAGGCAGGAGAAUUGCUAGUUUAAGGCCAGCCUUAGCAACGUAGCAAGGCCCUAAGCAACUUAGCAAGAUCCUGUCACAA